rnacentral:rRNA from 1 species
UACGGGGGGGGGCAAGCGUUGUUCGGAAUUACUGGGCGUAAAGGGCUCGUAGGUGGCCAACUAAGUCAGACGUGAAAUCCCUCGGCUUAACCGGGGAACUGCGUCUGAUACUGGAUGGCUUGAGUUUGGGAGAGGGAUGCGGAAUUCCAGGUGUAGCGGUGAAAUGCGUAGAUAUCUGGAGGAACACCGGUGGCGAAGGCGGCAUCCUGGACCAACACUGACACUGAGGAGCGAAAGCCAGGGGAGCAAAGCGG